AACGUAGGGGGCGAGCGUUAUCCGGAAUCACUGGGCGUAAAGGGCAUCUAGGCGGUGUAUUAAGUCCUGCGUGAAAGCUCCUGGCUCAACUGGGAGAGCGCGUGGGAGACUGGUGCGCUAGAGACUCGGAGAGGGGUGUGGAAUUCCCGGUGGAGUGGUGAAAUGCGUUGAGAUCGGGAGGAACACCAGUGGCGAAGGCGGCACCCUGGCCGAGUUCUGACGCUGAGGCGCGAAAGCUAGGGGAGCAAACGGG
rnacentral:rRNA from 1 species